GAUGAACGCUGGCGGCGUGCCUAAUACAUGCAAGUCGAGCGAACGGACGAGAAGCUUGCUUCUCUGAUGUUAGCGGCGGACGGGUGAGUAACACGUGGAUAACCUACCUAUAAGACUGGGAUAACUUCGGGAAACCGGAGCUAAUACCGGAUAAUAUUUUGCACCGCAUGGUUCAAAAGUGAACGACGGUCUUGCUGUCACUUAUAGCUGGUUCCGCGCUGCCUUAGCUAGUUGGUAAGGUAACGGCUUACCAAGGCAACGCUGCAUAGACGACAUGAGAGGGUGAUCGGCCACCCGGGAACUGAGACAGGGUCCAGAAUCCUACGGGAGGCAGCAGUAGGGAAUCUGCCGCAAUGGGCGAAAGCCUGACGGAGCAACGCCGCGUGAGUGAUGAAGGUCUUCGGAUCGUAAAACUCUGUUAUUAGGGAAGAACAGAUGUGUAAGUAACUGUGCACAUCUUGACGGUACCUAAUCAGAAAGCAACGGCUAACUACGUG
rnacentral:rRNA from 1 species